rnacentral:rRNA from 1 species
GGUUAAGCGACUAAGCGUACACGGUGGAUGCCCUGGCAGUCAGAGGCGAUGAAGGACGUGCUAAUCUGCGAAAAGCGCCGGCGAGGUGAUAUGAACCUUUGACCCGGCGAUGUCCGAAUGGGGAAACCCAGUGUGUUCCGACACACUAUCGUUAACUGAAUACAUAGGUUAACGAGGCGAACCGGGGGAACUGAAACAUCUAAGUACCCCGAGGAAAAGAAAUCAACCGAGAUUCCCCCAGUAGCGGCGAGCGAACGGGGAGCAGCCCAGAGUCUGAAUCAGCUUGUGUGUUAGUGGAAGCGUCUGGAAAGUCGCACGGUACAGGGUGACAGUCCCGUACACGAAAGCACACAGGCUGUGAACUCGAAGAGUAGGGCGGGACACGUGGUAUCCUGUCUGAAUAUGGGGGGACCAUCCUCCAAGGCUAAAUACUCCUGACUGACCGAUAGUGAACCAGUACCGUGAGGGAAAGGCGAAAAGAACCCCGGCGAGGGGAGUGAAAAAGAACCUGAAACCGUGUACGUACAAGCAGUGGGAGCCUCUUUUAUGGGGUGACUGCGUACCUUUUGUAUAAUGGGUCAGCGACUUAUAUUCUGUAGCAAGGUUAACCGUAUAGGGGAGCCGAAGGGAAACCGAGUCUUAACUGGGCGUUAAGUUGCAGGGUAUAGACCCGAAACCCGGUGAUCUAGCCAUGGGCAGGUUGAAGGUUGGGUAACACUAACUGGAGGACCGAACCGACUAAUGUUGAAAAAUUAGCGGAUGACUUGUGGCUGGGGGUGAAAGGCCAAUCAAACCGGGAGAUAGCUGGUUCUCCCCGAAAGCUAUUUAGGUAGCGCCUCGUGAACUCAUCUUCGGGGGUAGAGCACUGUUUCGGCUAGGGGGCCAUCCCGGCUUACCAACCCGAUGCAAACUACGAAUACCGAAGAAUGUUAUCACGGGAGACACACGGCGGGUGCUAACGUCCGUCGUGAAGAGGGAAACAACCCAGACCGCCAGCUAAGGUCCCAAAGUCAUGGUUAAGUGGGAAACGAUGUGGGAAGGCACAGACAGCCAGGAUGUUGGCUUAGAAGCAGCCAUCAUUUAAAGAAAGCGUAAUAGCUCACUGGUCGAGUCGGCCUGCGCGGAAGAUGUAACGGGGCUAAACCAUGCACCGAAGCUGCGGCAGCGACGCUUAUGCGUUGUUGGGUAGGGGAGCGUUCUGUAAGCCGUUGAAGGUGUCCUGUGAGGGGUGCUGGAGGUAUCAGAAGUGCGAAUGCUGACAUAAGUAACGAUAAAGCGGGUGAAAAGCCCGCUCGCCGGAAGACCAAGGGUUCCUGUCCAACGUUAAUCGGGGCAGGGUGAGUCGACCCCUAAGGCGAGGCCGAAAGGCGUAGUCGAUGGGAAACAGGUUAAUAUUCCUGUACUUGGUGUUACUGCGAAGGGGGGACGGAGAAGGCUAUGUUAGCCGGGCGACGGUUGUCCCGGUUUAAGCAUGUAGGCGGAGGUUCCAGGUAAAUCCGGUUCCUUAUUAACGCUGAGGUGUGAUGACGAGGCACUACGGUGCUGAAGUAACAAAUGCCCUGCUUCCAGGAAAAGCCUCUAAGCAUCAGGUAACAUCAAAUCGUACCCCAAACCGACACAGGUGGUCAGGUAGAGAAUACCAAGGCGCUUGAGAGAACUCGGGUGAAGGAACUAGGCAAAAUGGUGCCGUAACUUCGGGAGAAGGCACGCUGAUAUGUAGGUGAAGCCCCUGCGGGUGGAGCUGAAAUCAGUCGAAGAUACCAGCUGGCUGCAACUGUUUAUUAAAAACACAGCACUGUGCAAACACGAAAGUGGACGUAUACGGUGUGACGCCUGCCCGGUGCCGGAAGGUUAAUUGAUGGGGUUAGCGGUAACGCGAAGCUCUUGAUCGAAGCCCCGGUAAACGGCGGCCGUAACUAUAACGGUCCUAAGGUAGCGAAAUUCCUUGUCGGGUAAGUUCCGACCUGCACGAAUGGCGUAAUGAUGGCCAGGCUGUCUCCACCCGAGACUCAGUGAAAUUGAACUCGCUGUGAAGAUGCAGUGUACCCGCGGCAAGACGGAAAGACCCCGUGAACCUUUACUAUAGCUUGACACUGAACACUGGUCCUUGAUGUGUAGGAUAGGUGGGAGGCUUUGAAGCGUGGACGCCAGUCUGCGUGGAGCCAACCUUGAAAUACCACCCUUUAAUGGCUGGUGUUCUAACGUAGACCCGUAAUCCGGGUUGCGGACAGUGUCUGGUGGGUAGUUUGACUGGGGCGGUCUCCUCCCAAAGAGUAACGGAGGAGCACGAAGGUUAGCUAAUCCUGGUCGGACAUCAGGAGGUUAGUGCAAUGGCAUAAGCUAGCUUGACUGCGAGAGUGACGGCUCGAGCAGGUGCGAAAGCAGGUCAUAGUGAUCCGGUGGUUCUGAAUGGAAGGGCCAUCGCUCAACGGAUAAAAGGUACUCCGGGGAUAACAGGCUGAUACCGCCCAAGAGUUCAUAUCGACGGCGGUGUUUGGCACCUCGAUGUCGGCUCAUCACAUCCUGGGGCUGAAGUAGGUCCCAAGGGUAUGGCUGUUCGCCAUUUAAAGUGGUACGCGAGCUGGGUUUAGAACGUCGUGAGACAGUUCGGUCCCUAUCUGCCGUGGGCGCUGGAGAAUUGAGGGGGGCUGCUCCUAGUACGAGAGGACCGGAGUGGACGCAUCACUGGUGUUCGGGUUGUCAUGCCAAUGGCACUGCCCGGUAGCUAAAUGCGGAAAAGAUAAGUGCUGAAAGCAUCUAAGCACGAAACUUGCCCCGAGAUGAGUUCUCCCUGAGACUUUAAGUCUCCUGAAGGAACGUUGAAGACUACGACGUUGAUAGGUCGGGUGUGUAAGCGCAGCGAUGCGUUGAGCUAACCGAUACUAAUGAACCGUGAGGCUUAACCUU